UUUGGUUUCAUGCUGGACCAUCCUGCUUUUAAACCCUUUGUCACCCCUGUCCAUUUCUGAAGGAGGAUGGGACAGCAAAAAGUCCUGUUUUUCAGUUCAUUGGUUGAAAUAUAUG